GGCCUUCUGAUGCUUACCAUAGGCUAUGUUCUUAGACUGACUAUAUAGAAAGAGGAGGCAGCCAGGGCCAUUGGGCCUGGUCUAUAUUGAGAAUGG
rnacentral:snoRNA from 1 species